GGCAGUUCCAUUUAUCAUUACUGGUCCCCUGAUCCCUGUAGACACCCGCUCAGGUUUUGUGGUCAUUAAGGUCGUGGUCACUGCGGCUGCCAAGUCCAAGCCGAGGCUUCCUGGUGUGGCUGGUUGCAGGGCUGCUGCUGGCUGGAAACGGCUACUUGUAUCUGUGCGUGGCCGUCGUUUCUUUCUCACGCUGGGCUGGGGGUUUCCCGACCGGCGUCGACAGGCAUUGGUAUUGUGGUUGUCCAUACGACAUGUCUGACACCAUGAACCAGUGGCUUGACACUGACGACGCAUAUGUCCUAUGCCGCCACAGCGAUAGCAUUUGAUGCGACCAGCAACAGGAGAUCUCGGGCCUAAAUUUGUUGUUGCAGACGCUUGUAAGGAUGCAAGAGCUGCUAGCACUUGAUUGUGAGAGGCCUCAGCCUGCGCCUUUAAACCUGCCCCUAACUCCUUAAUAGCCUCAACCAGAAAUGCUUGGGGCCCGACCGGCACACUUGAUAGCUUUUCUAGUGCCUCCUCAAUAGUCCAAUUACUCCUCAAAGUACUCAGAAUACUACGUGCUGUUGAAUUACAAUUUUGGAGCGCGCAUUGUUUUAACAUCACUCCUCUCAUAUACUCUGGCACCCCUGCCUUUUCAAUAGCCCCGGCUACCUUAUCUAUGAAUGCCCCAAAGUCCUCAUCUCUACCUUGUCGGAUCCCCAUAUAAAAUGGGAAUCUAUCAGGCACCUUAAUCUUGUCCAUGGCCUGUCUAGCUAAAUACAUAGUUUCUCGACAUUUAUCUGGCCCUAAUAAUGCUUGGGCUUGUGUUCUGAAAAAAGGCCCUAGCCCUAAGAGUUCUUCGAUAGUUACACCAUGUAGUGGGUCUCCCGGCUGCCUAGCCUUUGAGACACUCUGAUGGCACAGUUCUUGCCAGUAUGCAUUAAACAACAGCUGUUGAUGUUGUGAAAAGAUCAAUUUUGCUAUUGCCCGACAAUCGGAUGGCAGCAAUAUCUGCAUACUCCAAAUAUAAUCCAAUAUCUGCUUAGCUGGCUUGCUUUUUACCCCAAACUGACUAACUGUAGAUCGUAGCUGCGAUAAUAAUUUCCAAUCUAAAGCCGUGAUGGUGGCCUGCAUCCCUCCCGCAGGAUUAGAGGCAUAUAUCACCGGAAACGCCAUGUGCCGCACGGCCUCCACUGCAUCGUCACUCUCUGCCCCAGGGAUCGGCUCACUGCUCGGAGGGUUUAUUGGGCCCAUUGUAAUAGGCGCAGGUGAACUACCCGGCGCGGCCGUAACUAGGGGCGGGGGUGGGGCGCUUGGCUCCAAACAUGCUGAUGUGGCAUGCUCCGCGGCCGGCGGCAACACUAAGGUAGUCACUGCGGGGGGCAACAGACAAUCCGGCCACCCAUUGUAAUCCUUAUUUCUCCCCUGUGCAGCACCGGCCUGUUCCGCUGCCUUCUUUUCUGCUUGGUGCUGCAACAGUUCAUUGUGAACUGCUCUCCACAGUUUCCCGCAUUUUUUUGCUGUCUUAUCAUCAUCUAAAACUGCUUGCCAAAGUGCAUCCCCAAAUUUACGCCAUUCUGUAAGGUCAUGUACUAAAUGUGGGUCUUGAAAAAAACCUUUAGCAUAACCAUAAGCUAAUAACCCGGGGAGUUCCUUCUGUAAGUCUACUCCCUUAAUUUGCCGUUUUCUCAGAAAACAAGUAAAUAAAUCAUAAGCCGCUUGCCUUUCCAUCCCUUAUCUGUCAGCGCGCGCUAUUGCAGCCUUACAAGGUCUCGGCGGCCCGUAUCAGCCAGGCUCUCCGAUGAGGUCACCUAGGGCUCGGCACUCCUCUCUCUGGUUCCCGAGUGCUUUAGCCGUCCUCGCUGCUUUAGGACCCGAACUCCUUCGCCGUCCCACCGUGGUGCGCCGUUACUGGAUCACGUCGGGGUCACCAUUUGUAGGAAAUCAGCGGGAGACAAGUCUCAUGCUUUCAUGAUCAACAAGUCUCAGCUUUAUUGAAGCACACGCAGGCAUUUAUACGAUAGUUAAUGAGCUACUACAUAUGCCAAAUUGGGUUCUCUUAUUGGUUAGUUCUUUACGUGAGAAAGUAACCAUCAACGCUAGAUACCGUGACAGUCCCGUGAUGAAUGCCCGAUUGUUUACCGCAUACCACUCAAUUUUCUUAAUUGCAGCAUGUUCUUAUCACUUCCUUGCUCCUGAGGGCAGCACGACCUUGCCUGGUUUAAUGAGCAGGGCCCUAUCUCCUUACCAGCUGCAUCCCAUCAUGGCCCCUCUCCCGGAGCCAGUGCUCCGGGUCCCAAAAGCUCUC
rnacentral:lncRNA from 1 species